rnacentral:rRNA from 1 species
GCGCUUCCUAGCCACGAAGGGAGCGCGGCGCACAGCUCAGUAGCACGUGGCUAACCUGCCCUUGGGACGGGAACAACCCCGGGAAACUGGGGCUAAUUCCCGAUAGGUGAAGAACUCUGGAAUGAGUCUUUGCCGAAAGGGCGUUUACGUCAUGCUCGUAGGCGCUGCCCAAGGAUGGGGCCGCGGCCGAUCAGGUUGUUGGUGAGGUAACGGCUCACCAAGCCUAUAACCGGUGCGGGCCGUGAGAGCGGGAGCCCGGAGAUGGGCACUGAGACAAGGGCCCAGGCCCUACGGGGCGCAGCAGUCGCGAAACCUUUGCAAUACACGAAAGUGUGACAGGGUUAUCCCGAGUGCCGUCCGCUGAGGAUGGCUUUUACCCAGUCUAGCAAGCUGGGGGAAUAAGGAGAGGGCAAGUCUGGUGUCAGCCGCCGCGGUAAUACCAGCUCUCCGAGUGGUGGGGACGUUUAUUGGGCCUAAAGCAUCCGUAGCUGGCCGUUCAAGUCCCCUGUUAAACCCAGCGAUUUAAUCGUUGGUCUGCGGGGGAUACUGUUCGGCUAGGGGACGAGAGAGGCAGACGGUA